CCUACGGGUGGCAGCAGUGGGGAAUCUUGGUCAAUGGACGAAAGUCUGAACGAGCCAAGUCGCGUGAAGGAUGUCUGCCCUAUGGGUUGUAAACUUCUUUUAUAUGGGAAUAAAACGAUCCACGUGUGGGAUUUUGUAUGUACCAUAUGAAUAAAGAUCGGCUAACUCCGUGCCAGCAGCCGCGGUGAUACGGAGGGUCCGAGCGUUAUCCGGAUUUAUUGGGUUUAAAGGGAGCGUAGGUGGUUUGUUAAGUCAGAUGUGAAAGUUUGCGGCUCAACCGGAAAAGUGCAGUUGAAACUGGCAGUCUUGAGUACAGUAGAGGUGAGUGGAAUUCGUGGUGUAGCGGUGAAAUGCUUAGAUAUAACGAAGAACACCGAUUGCGAAGGCAGCUCACUGGACUGCAACUGACACUGAGGCUCGAAAGUGUGGGUAUCAAACAGGAUUAGAUACCCUGGUAGUC
rnacentral:rRNA from 1 species